rnacentral:rRNA from 1 species
AGCGAAAGCGAGUCUGAAUAGGGCGAAUGAGUAUGUGGUCGUAGACCCGAAACCAAGUGACCUACCCAUGUCCAGGUUGAAGGUGCGGUAAUACGCACUGGAGGACCGAACCCACGUAUGUUGAAAAAUGCGGGGAUGAGGUGUGGGUAGCGGAGAAAUUCCAAUCGAACUUGGAGAUAGCUGGUUCUCUCCGAAAUAGCUUUAGGGCUAGCCUCGGAAUUAAGAAUCAUGGAGGUAGAGCAACUGUUUGGACUAGGGGCCCUUCUCGGGUUACCGAAUUCAGAUAAACUCCGAAUGCCAUUGAUUUAUAUCCGGGAGUCAGACUGCGAGUGAUAAGAUCCGUAGUCGAAAGGGAAACAGCCCAGACCACCAGCUAAGGUCCCCAAGUUACUGUUAAGUGGAAAAGGAUGUGGGGUUGCAUAGACAACUAGGAUGUUGGCUCAGAAGCAGCCAUCAUUUAAAGAGUGCGUAAUAGCUCACUAGUCGAGUGACCCUGCGCCGAAAAUGUACCGGGGCUAAACAGUACACCGAAGCUGUGGAUAGAACCUUAUGGUUCUAUGGUAGGAGAGCGUUCUAAGGGCGUCGAAGCUAGACCGUGAGGACUGGUGGAGCGCUUAGAAGUGAGAAUGCCGGUAUGAGUAGCGAAAGACGGGUGAGAAUCCCGUCCACCGAAUGACUAAGGUUUCCUGGGGAAGGCUCGUCCUCCCAGGGUUAGUCGGGACCUAAGCCGAGGCCGAUAGGCGUAGGCGAUGGACAACAGGUUGAUAUUCCUGUACCAGUUUGUUUUGUUUGAACAAUGGAGGGACGCAGAAGGAUAAGGAAAGCGCACUGAUGGAUAUGUGCGUCCAAGCAGUGAGUCUUGACGUGAGUAAAAUGCUUGCGACUAUAAGGAUGAGCUGUGAUGGGGAAGGAAAUAAAGUACUGAAGUUCCUGAUUUCACGCUGCCAAGAAAAGCUUCUAGUUAGAAAUAAACUGCCCGUACCGCAAACCGACACAGGUAGUCGAGGAGAGAAUCCUAAGGUGUGCGAGAGAACUCUCGUUAAGGAACUCGGCAAAAUGACCCCGUAACUUCGGGAGAAGGGGUGCUGACCGCAAGGUCAGCCGCAGUGAAUAGGCCCAAGCGACUGUUUAUCAAAAACACAGGUCUCUGCAAAAUCGAAAGAUGACGUAUAGGGGCUGACGCCUGCCCGGUGCUGGAAGGUUAAGAGGAUGGGUUAGCUUACGCGAAGCUCA